rnacentral:rRNA from 1 species
CGGAUUGUAGUCUGCAACUCGACUACAUGAAGCUGGAAUCGCUAGUAAUCGCGAAUCAGAAUGUCGCGGUGAAUACGUUCCCGGGUCUUGUACACACCGCCCGUCACACCAUGGGAGUUGGGAAUGCCCGAAGCCGGUGACCUAACCGAAAGGGAGGAGCCGUCGAAGGCAGGCUUGAUAACUGGGGUGAAGUCGUAACAAGGUAAC